UCUCAGUAUUGAUCCAGAUGCCAAAGUUGCCUGUGGGUCUGAUGUUUGGCUAUGUCACUGAUGAAACUGAGGAAUGUAUGCCCUUAACCCUCCUCCUGACACACAAACUGACUGCAAGAAUAAAGGCUCUGGAACGGAAUGGAACAUGGACCUGGGUUAGACCAGAUGGGAAAACACAGGUCACAAUGGAAUACAAGGAAAGUAAUGGUGCAGUGGAGUCCAUCCGAGUGCACACACUUGUGAUUUCUGUUACAUCAUGCCCCAGACUUACCUCUACA